rnacentral:rRNA from 1 species
GAUGAACGCUGGCGGCGUGCCUAAUACAUGCAAGUCGAGCGAACAGACGAGGAGCUUGCUCCUCUGACGUUAGCGGCGGACGGGUGAGUAACACGUGGAUAACCUACCUAUAAGACUGGGAUAACUUCGGGAAACCGGAGCUAAUACCGGAUAAUAUCUUGAACCGCAUGGUUCAAUAGUGAAAGACGGUUUUGCUGUCACUUAUAGAUGGAUCCGCGCCGCAUUAGCUAGUUGGUAAGGUAACGGCUUACCAAGGCAACGAUGCGUAGACGACCUGAGAGGGUGAUCGGCCACACUGGAACUGAGACACGGUCCAGACUCCUACGGUAGGCAGCAGUAGGGAAUCUUCCGCAAUGGGCGAAAGCCUGACGGAGCAACGCCGCGUGAGUGAUGAAGGUCUUCGGAUCGUAAAACUCUGUUAUUAGGGAAGAACAAAUGUGUAAGUAACUAUGCACGUCUUGACGGUACCUAAUCAGAAAGCCACGGCUAACUACGUG